UAAGAAAAAGCAUGAAUAAUAUUUCCACAAUCGGGUAAAACAGAAAGACUAUAUAUGAUUAAUUGAAGAAGAUGAUGAAGAAACAGCUGAUUCUUCAUUAAAUCUCAAUGAAAUUUACACUUCCCGAAUUGGAAACAUUAAACAGAAGAAACAAAAAAACAAAAGGAAGCUGCUAAAAAGGGAAUAAGAACCAAUCUGACUUAUAAAAUACACCACCUCCAUAUAUAGCUAGCUAGGCCUAAUCAAAACCUGUAACAGA
rnacentral:misc_RNA from 1 species